rnacentral:lncRNA from 1 species
AGUUUCCCAGCGCACCACGCCGGAUUCCGGGCGUCGGCGUACAGGAUCCCAGAGAAGGCUUCCCGCCGGAGCAGCGGUCGCGGGCGGUUCACCUGGCUGCGCAGGGGUCCCAGAUAUUCAGAGAAGAGCUGAGGCUCAGCCUGUCCUGCCCUCUGGAUUAAUUGCCCUGGUUGAUCACGUUUCCUUGGGUUCUGGAUCUGCUCCUCCAGCCCCCAUAUUUUGGAAACAAGUGUCAUUUAGAAUAGGGGGUGGGAGGCCGGGCACAGUGGCUCACGCCUGUAAUCCCAGCACUUUGAGAGGCCGAGGCGGACGGAUCAUGAGAUCAGGAGUUCGAGACCAGCCUGACCAACAUGGUGAAACCCACUCUCUACUAAAAAUACAAAAAUUAGCCGGACGUGGUGGCGCGCGCCUCCAUCUCAAAAAAAAAAAAAAUUGGGGGAUGGGGAGGUGUGGGUUGCGGGAGGUGUGGGUUGCAGUUGUGUUUUCAAAGCAAUGUUUACUAUCUGGCCGGGCGCAGUGGCUCAUGCCUGUAAUCCCAGUACUUUGGGAGACCGGGUGGAUCAUGAGGUCAGGAGUUCCAGACCAGCCUAACCAACAUGGUGAAACCGCGUCUCUACUAAAAAUACAAAAACUAGCCGGCUGUGGUGGCACGCGCCUGUAAUCCCAGCUACUCAGGAGGCUGAGGCAGGAGAAUCGCUUGAACCCGGGAGGCGGAGGUUGCAGUGAGACCGGAUCGCUCUCCACUGGGCGACAGAUUUGAAUCUACGCUGUGCCCAUCUUGCAGAUGAAGAUUUCCCCAAGCCGUUACAGAUGGUUCCCUACCCAUUCCAGAGCUGCUAAUUAUAACCACCAGCUUCAGGCGGUAGGCUGAGACCUUUAUUGUUUUGUGUCAUUUAGUCAUCAGUAAACCCCAUGGAAUAAAGCAAAGUAUGUCUGCUCUACAAAUGAGAAAAUUGAGGCCCAGAGAGACUGCCCAAGGUCCCUCACAGUAAAAGAAUGUCUGAGGAUUCAAACCCAUAUCAUUUUGAUGCCACAAAGCCAGUGUGCCCUUGACCCUCCAUCGCCCAGGACCUUAAAAUUUCCUGACAGUGACUGGCAUUCUCCCUGCGGGUUGUGAACAGGAAACUGCAUUUCAGGGAUGGACGGUGGCGGGAGCAGUCGCUCUCGGGAGCCUCUCCUUCCCCUGGCUGUGGGACCCUAGAGGCUGGUGUCCGCUGAGCUGGAAACUGGACUUCUGCCCAGAUCUUUGAACGACCCCACGGUCCAGCGGCAGCUGUGGCUGGGGUCUAUCCCAGAGUCCAUUGCCCCUCUCUGGGUUAAAAGGAUAGCCCACCUGGUUGCAGAGAUUGAAAGGACUAAUUGUGAAAAUGCUUUUCAAAGGAGAAAGUGUAAUAUGCAAAUACCAAAUAUUACACUAUAUUUCAAGGACUCAUUUUAAUACUUUAUACUCUGUUAACUAAAUGCAUUAUAAUAUUCCUUCCAUUGUUGGAGGAAAAAUCUGGUUGCUCAUUGUCUUUCAUUUCAUGUCUUCAAAACUAGUAUCUUAAUCAGUAAUGCUUUCCUUCAUAAUAGCAUUGUGAUCUCCCAACGCUGAUAUACCCAGAGUGAACAAUUUGCCUUGCUACAGAAAAUUAGUCACAGACUUGUUGCAGCUGAAGUGAGCAGGAUCAUGAAGUUCCUUUUGUUUGUUGAAUAUGUUAUUAAGUCUUCCUCGGUUUUAAUAAUGUUGAACUGUUUUUUUAUUACUCCUAUUAUGUUUUGCUGGGCAUUUGUUUAAAGAUAAUACAUCAGUUUUGUAACCUUGUAGCAAUAUAAGUUAUUGAUGAUAAAUACUCCCCUUCUUUCUUUCUGCAGGAAUAAUAUUUUCACUGCAGCUUUGGGGUCAUGCCUAAAAGUGGCUUGAACCAAAUUGAAAUAGCAAUUUGAAAAAACCCCAGAUCAAUCUAAAAUGUUAUUUUUUUAACCAAAGCAUGUUCAAGAUUUGAAAAUGUAUCCUCUAUUUUCAAAAGUAUACAUAUAAUUUAUCCUAGAACUUAAUAUUACUGAACAUAGAUAACCUCAGACCACCCAAAUAUUCUCCAAAGCAAAUCUUAAUCAUACCUUUAAUUAAUUUAAUCGCAAUUUCUGAUUCACUUUUUUUUUUUUUUUUGAGACAGGGUCUCAUUCUGUUGCCCAGGCUGCAGUGCAGUGGUGCAUUCUUGGCUCACUGCAGCCUCUGCCUCCAGGUUCAAGUGAUUCUCAUG